rnacentral:rRNA from 1 species
AGCUCCAAUAGCGUAUAUUAAAAUUGUUGCAGUUAAAAAGCUCGUAGUUGGAUUUCUGGUUCGGCGCACUUGGCCCGCCUCGGUUUACGGGGUUGUGUGCCGGUGUGCGCCAUCCAUCCUUCGAGAGAACGCUUCUACCCUUCACUGGGUCGGGAGUGCUAUCUCGAUCUUUUACUUUGAAAAAAUUAGAGUGUUUAAAGCAGGCUUGCGCUAUGAAUACAUUAGCAUGGAAUAAUAAUUUAGGACUUUGGUCUUAUUUUGUUGGUUUCUAGGACUAAAGUAAUGAUUGAUAGGGACAGUUGGGGGUGCUAGUAUUCAGCGGCCAGAGGUGAAAUUCUUGGAUUCGCUGAAGACUAACUUAUGCGAAAGCAUUCACCAAGGAUGUCUUCU